rnacentral:rRNA from 1 species
UACGGAGGAUCCGAGCGUUAUCCGGAUUUAUUGGGUUUAAAGGGUGCGCAGGCGGGAGAUUAAGUCGGCGGUGAAAUUUUGCAGCUCAACUGUAAAAGUGCCUUCGAAACUGGUUUCCUUGAGUGUAGAUGAAGUAGGCGGAAUAUGUGGUGUAGCGGUGAAAUGCAUAGAUAUCACGAGGAACUCCGAUUGCGCAGGCAGCUUACUAAACUACUACUGACGCUCAGGCACGAAGGCGUGGGGAUCAAACAGGAUUAGAUACCCGU